ensembl:lncRNA
CAAAACUUGGAGUCUGACUUUGUCUUCAUUGCAAUCAUUUUUACAAACUUCUGGCUAUAAAGAUUUCCUUUGUGGGAGAAAUGUCAUGAUUACAAAGAAAUCCAAAUCAGUCCAAGAUCAUUUUGCCAAUUGUUUUGCUAUGCAGACAAAAUAGAAAUCUCGUGAAUCUCAGCAAUAUCUUUAAGGUGGAAAAUUCUCGGCUGGAUCAAGGUCAUAAUUCUAUGAACUCUGCUUUGGGGGCUGUUAAUUAAAAAGUCUUUGGCUAAAACCACAUUGAGAGGAAGAACUGGAAUCCAGGACUCAUCCUUCUAGCAGAGUGUGCUUAUUUGCAGAUGCCAGAGUCUGCAGUCUGUGUUCUUCACUAGGCCACCAAAUAUGUCCAGCCUUUAGCAGGAAGACGGAACAAAAUAUCCAAUACAGAGGUUAAUUUCAUCCACUUCUGACAAGACUUUCCUGUUCAGAAAAGAAGGAUUAAUAAACCACAGUCACUCACUGUCUAACCACUAGUCUGAUAGAGAAAAGGCUGGGUCCCACUGGAAUCUGAGUUCAAAAUGUGUAGAAGAUGACAGAGUGUACAUGAGUUUCUCAGCUUAUAGUCAUGAAGCAAACACAGACCUGGACAGUGGGAUAGUUUAUUUUCGGUGAGGAGAAACUGACAAAAGCUGCUCUACCGCUCUAAUGUUCCAGAGUCUAGAUCCCUCAACAGUCCAACCAGCAUCCUUGCUUGACAGAGAUGGGUGAGCAGUCACUCCUUGGCUGCAUUUCUAGGCUGGAUUGAGGCAGCAGGGAGAUGACUGUGCAGUGGGGAUACAGCCGAUGCUGGUUCUCGGGUACUUCCUGCCCAGCAGUGGGAGGAAGAUGAAAGGUAGGGAAAAGAAAAGAAGAGAAAAGAAGAGAAAAGAAGAGAAGAGAAAAGAAGAGAAAGGAAGAGAAAGGAAGAGAAAAGAAAAGAAAAGAAAAGAAAAGAAAAGAAAAGAAAAGAAAAGAAAAGAAAAGAAAAGAAAAGAAAAGAAAAGAAAAGAAAAGAAAAGAAAAGAAAAGAAAAGAAAAGAAAAGAAAAGAAAAGAAAAGAAAAGAAAAGAAAAGAAAAGACCAUUAUUACAGCUUGUUGUUCUCAUUUGCCUCCUUGUCAAUUACUCUGCGUAUUAUCCUUUCCCCAGCAUAUGUAAACCACCAGCAGGAACCUUUCCAUCCACAUCCAGAGGUGAAAGUAGGCAGCAAAUGCCUUGUAGUAAUUACACCUUUGGACCCUCUGUUCCCUCUGUCCUCCUGGGAAGACUGACCAGCAUAUAUUCAUUUCCUUUUCUGCUGAAAAACUGCUGAACACUAGUCACAACAAAAAAAAGAAGAUAUGGUUUCUUUAGCAGUCAGAGACCAAGGAGAAAUGGAGCAGGAAACACGACUGCUAUUUUCACGUUUCUGCAUUUAAUCCAUAUAUCAGGAUUAAAAUUUUCUAUUUUCAAGAUUCCUGUUAGGUUUUUGUUCUUGUUUUUGGUUUUUUUUUCCUUAAUAAAGAUCACAGUAUUUUAUGUGAAGCAGACAUUAAUCAUAAGCAAAAUAUUUAUUCAUGAAGAAACACAUAUCUAAUUAAAGAUUUUUUGUCAGCUCCCAGAAUAUGCCAAAGUUCAUAUCUACUGCUUCAACAGACCUCAUCACAUGGCAGGGAACUUAAAAAAGAAAUACUCCUACAUGAAAUUUCACUGUGAAAAAGAAAAGAACAGUGCAGUUUCCUUUAAAAAUCAUUUUCUAUCCUCAGAAUCUGAAACCAUUUCUGCACAUCAUUCAAUCCCAACAUUCAAUCCCAGCAGGAUUUCCAAAUGGCUAUCCAGUCAGAUCUUGAGUUACCUCAUACCCAGGUAUACAGCAGUAUCACAUCUGUGCACACACUGCCAUUCCCAGUUCCCCCAUCAAGCCUCACUGAUCGUUUGUGCUUCUCAGCUGUCUAGGUAUCUGCUCUGCUGACUCCGUAGGCAAGCCAUCUGUAGAGUAAAAUGCCAGCAGAUAUGCUUGGCCUGCUCCUGCAGAACCUCUCUCUUCUCCACUGUGCAUAUUGAACCCCCACAUGGGCUCUUUGUAGCUACCCUCUGCAAAGAUAUUCAUGAAACAUACUGGGAAACCACUGAUCAAUUCUCAUUAUCUGGAAAUAUACUAGUAUUCAACAAAGACUUUAUUCUACUGUUUUCACUUUGUCCUCAUCUAAUAUCUUCCUCUGUAAUCAGUUCACUUUGAAGGGAGAUAUUUUGAAUGUUACCUUUAGACCCUUUCAGGACAGAUACAGUCAUGUUUUACUGUGUGGUAUAGUCCUUCCCAAGGCCUCACAUUCUGUUCAUGGCCUGUACAUGUUGACAAGGAAUUGUUCUAUGGAGAGUUUUCAUGUAGGCAACUCACCUACAUAACAAAGCUCAUCAUAUGUCAGGUUACAAAAUGAAAAUCUUUUCUAAAUUAUUGUGAAAGAUAUUAAUUUAAGGUGUUUAAAAAUGUGUUUUGCCUGACACCAAAAUUGUUUUCCGUGUUGUGUUCAAAAAUAUCUAAUUCCUUAUGAUCUGGAAGUUCUAACCAGAAAAAAAGAUUUCCUCAUAAGACUUGUAAUUUUUAAUAAAUGUUUCCAAUUUCUCAUGCAAACAUAUGCAGUAAAUAACAAUUAAUAUGAAUUUAGACAAAAACAUGGGGGAAAAACUGAAGGAUAUUAUUCACGUAAUUGAAUCACUUUUUCCAUAAUGUUCUCUAAUGUUUUUCAAAAAGGAAUGUCCUUCUUUUUCCUUUCUUUUCUUUUUCUGUGAUUCCUGGUGGUAGAAAGCUAAAAGGAGUAUGAUACUGAAAAUCUCAUUCCUGCAUAUUUACCAUUUUAUGACUGAAAAUGUUAACAACACUUGGCAUGCAUGAACCUGAGAACCUACUUCAUGAAUUUUUUCAUUUUUUUCUAUAUGUCAGGCACUCCACCCAGUUGUAACUCUAUGUUGAAAAUGAUGACCAAGAUCUAAAUUUUGGGGAACAUGCUCUCUGUUCAAACCUGAUGUAAGAAAUUCAAAGAAUUUCAAAACCAUAUUUCAGAAGAAUUUAUGUUUCUACAAGCAGUGGUAAUAAUAGUGAAUAGUUAUUAAUUAUAACAAUAAUUCUGAAUGCAUUGUAAAUAGUGUGUGGUUGGCCUUCACAACAGCUCUGUAAUGAUGUGUACAUGGCAGUGAUAGAAAGAACUAUGGUGAGGAGCGUUAUAUAUAAACACUGUAGGAAAUACUAUAUUAUAUUAUAUUAUAUUAUAUUAUAUUGUAUUGUAUUGUAUUGUAUUGUAUUGUAUCGUAUUAUUAUAUUUAUACACUGCAAGAGAAUAAAUGUACAGAAAGACAAUUUCAUCUAACCAUAGCCUCAGUGCCACCUGAGAUGUCUGAAUCCAACAUCAGCUUCACACACAACCCCUUUGCCAGUGGGCCACUAGUCAAUAAAGUCCCCUGUAUGCCUACAUCUCUGCUGCAAUAACCUACUUCAGUUUCUGCAGCACUAAGCAGCUAAGCACCAGGUAUCACAUAAAAGCUCCUCAAACCACAUGUCCUCCUCUAAUCUUGACUCUGUUGUCUGACCCAUGCCAACAACUGGGCCUCAUCCUAACAAAGGCAUGGAGUCAUAAAAUAUAUGGGUCAUAAAGGGAGGAUCCUCCAGGGAGAUCUGUUGCUAUCUGCAGAAACCCCUGGAGUGGUAAGUCUGGGCUGGUGUGUCAUUCAUGUACCCUCAAGGACAGUACAAUGUGCUUCAAGAAGGCCAGAAAUAACAUCCAUAUGAAUAUUCCCAGAGGUUAGUGUCUCCAAAAGUUAACACUCAAAGGUAAAGCCUUCUUCCCUAGAGGAGAAAAGAUGCUCAUACACAGACACUGAAUCUUUCUACUCUAAUUUAUUUUCAUUAUAAACCUCAUCUGAAGACUGAUUUUUUUCAAAGAAACAUCAGAAAAUGUCAUCUUGAAAAUCUGAUUUUUCAAGAUGACAAAGCUGUCUUCUGGUAGGAAUUGUUUUCUGUGUUUUAAAACCAUAUCUAUGAGUAGGAAUUUGCAUCAUGAAAAUAAAAAUCUGUUUUGCCAAUUGUAAUAAUGCCUAAAAAUAAAAGAGAAAAAUCUACUUGAUCACAAUAGCACAUUGUAAGAAAAUGGAUGCUUGUAAUACAAUAUUCUGUCAAUUCAAUUGGUGAGUGCUAAUAGGCUUUCCAUUCACAAGCGACAACGUCUUCUCUAAUUAUGGAACACAACUUGUUAUUGAACAGCUAAUAGCC